rnacentral:rRNA from 1 species
AGAGUUUGAUCAUGGCUCAGAACGAACGCUGGCGGCAGGCUUAACACAUGCAAGUCGAACGCUCGUAGCAAUACGGGAGUGGCAGACGGGUGAGUAACGCGUGGGAACAUACCCUCCGGUUCGGAAUAGCUCAGGGAAACUUGGAUUAAUACCGGAUACGGCUGAGAGGCGAAAGAUUUAUCGCCGGAGGAUUGGCCCGCGUUCGAUUAGCUUGUUGGUGAGGUAACGGCUCACCAAGGCGAUGAUCGAUAGCUGGUCUGAGAGGAUGAUCAGCCACAUUGGGACUGAGGCACGGCCCAAACUCCUACGGGAGGCAGCAGUGGGGAAUAUUGGACAAUGGGCGCAAGCCUGAUCCAGCCAUGCCGCGUGAGUGAUGACGGCCUUAGGGUUGUAAAGCUCUUUCGCUCGGGACGAUAAUGACGGUACCGAGAUAAGAAGCCCCGGCUAACUUCGUGCCAGCAGCCGCGGUAAUACGAAGGGGGCUAGCGUUGUUCGGAAUUACUGGGCGUAAAGCGCGUGUAGGCGGGUCUUUAAGUCAGGGGUGAAAUGCCAAGGCUCAACCUUGGAACUGCCUUUGAUACUGGAGAUCUUGAGUCCGGAAGAGGUGAGUGGAAUUGCGAGUGUAGAGGUGAAAUUCGUAGAUAUUCGCAAGAACACCAGUGGCGAAGGCGGCUCACUGGUCCGGAACUGACGCUGAGACGCGGAAGCGUGGGGAGCAAACAGGAUUAGAUACCCUAGUAGUCC